CACUCCCUGAAAAAGAAACCAGAGAGACAUUUUAAAAUAACCUUUUUAUUAGUAGCCUGUGAAAUGUUACAACCAAAGUCAUUCCUUUUUAUUCACUGUCCAUGUAACCAGGAUCCAUGAGAAUUCACCUAAACAGUUAAUAUUUUGAUGUAUACUGAAACAUCAGGGGAGGAAGGGCUUCAGGUAAAACCUUUGUUUGAGGGGCCAGUGAGCUGGUUCAGUGGGUAAGGACAUUUGUUGUCUUGUCUGAUGACCAAUGUGUGAUACUCAGACCCCGUGUAGUGGAGAGAACUGAGUCUUUCAAAUUACCCUCUGACCUCUAUGUAUAUGUGCAUGCAUGCACACCCGCACUUGUACACAUACACGCACGUAUGUAAUAAACGUUUUUAAUAAAUUUUGUUUGAUUUCUGCAUGACCUACAAAGAGGUCUUUAGGAAGUGUGACUACUUAAGUACCUCCUAGUAUCCUUGAUGAGUAUAUUUGUUCAUAGACUGCUGUGACCUGAGUGACAGCGACUGUCUUGUAUAAGUAAAGCAGUUCUCUGUCCAGGCAAUGCUAGUCAUGAGAAAAGGAAUCAGUAGAAACCAAGUCACUCCUAGAAUAUUAAGCACAUGCCGGAUAACACUUUAAACAUCCUGCACGUAUUAUUUCAACAUGUCACUGUGCCAACAACUACAUGGAGACACAAAGCCAUAAGAAAUCAAGUGCCCAAGGCACGCCCAGAAUGCAUGACCCGGGACUGACUCCAAAACUCAUUUACAACCUGUCCUUUCUGGCUCAGCUUGGUUCCAUCCAUUCUGAGUUGCUCUGACUGUUAUACUUGUCAAAUGGAUUUGCUUUUUCCUCUGUGAAUUCCUCUCACAUUUUAAGAUGUAAAAUCCAUGGCAUUACUUGCUUUUAUAUCUCAUAUUUUUUUUUAUUUCAAAAACUAUUAUUUUAUUUUCUGCACCUGGGUAUUUUGCCUAUAUGAAUGUCUGUGCAUCACAAGUGUGCCUGGUGGUGUUCAAGGAUGUCCAAAGGGGUUUGGGGUCAGAUACCCUGAAACUGAAGUUACAAGCAAUUAUGAGACACCAUGUGGGUGCUGAGAAUGGUAAUGUCCUCUGCAAGAGCAGUGAAUGCUCUCAACCACAACACGGUCUCUCCAGUCCUUGUGUUGCUUGCUUUUUUUAAAUGCUGGUAUACAACCGUUCUCAUACCAAGUAAGAGAUAUUUUACCAGUGCUAAGGGAUAAAUCUUUUACUUUGUAACUCUUAUCACAACUUUCGUUGUAGAGUACACAUGAAUUUCUGAGAAGCAACAGUUGCUAUAUUGGUCCAAAGCUCAGAAACAUAUCCAUAGUUCAUUUUGUCCCAAGUUUAUGAUUAUAUCUUAUUUAUCCAGGAAGACUGUAGUCACAGAAACUUCUGUGUUUAUUUCCUCAGUGGAUAGGUACCACGUAAAAUUAAAUUGAAUUAAAGGAAAAAUAACAAUUUCAUAAAUACUCUAAAACAAUAAUGUAUUGUUGAAAUACACUGAACCUUGUAAAAGCAACCUUGGGGGUGGAGUGUUUAUUUUUGGCUCACAAUCUCAGUUUAUAGUCCAUCACUGUAGAGAAGUCAAGGCAGAAACUUCCAAGAACUAUUCAUAUCACAUGAGAUAGGGGUGUAUGCCAACCUACUCACUUACUCAUGCUCAGCUUGAUUUAUCCACUCUCAUACUGCCCAGAACUCCCUGCCUAGGGAAUGGUGUUACCCAUGGUGGGUUGGAUCCCCCCAUAUCAAUUAACUUAAUUAAGAUAAUCCCUCAAAGGGAAACAUGAUGCAGACAGUCCUUCAUUGAGUCUCUCUUCUCAGGCGAUUCUAGGUUGUGCCAGAUUGACAAUUAAAACUGACCAUUCCAGUGACUUCGAGUGGAGGGGACAGAUAUUUUACCCUAACCAGCCGUGGUCCCUGGAGUAUUGUGACAACUAGGGGUGUAGCUUCACAAUCUUCAUAGAAAGGACCCAGAAUGGUCUAAUCAUGUUUUUUUAAAGCAGAACAUUAUAUUUUCUUUAAAUAUAUUUUGAUUGUUUAUGUCUUUUCUAUAAGGCAGAAUGCUCCAAUUGGAUCCUGUUCCAUACAGUAAAAUCCAAAGCUGUCUACUCCAGGAAACCACUGUGGGCAUGUCACGUAAAUGGAAUCAAACAACAUGUGAACUUUUAAAACUGGCUACUUCAAUGAAUAUCCUAGUAAGAGCACCAGUGGAAGGGGAAGCCCUGGGUCCUGGCACUGCCAUGAUCUUUAGUGUAGGGUAUCUUCCAUGUGCUGGAUAUGGUGAAUCAAGUUAUGGCUUGCAAGAGUGAGCAGUAAUGAGUGAUGACCUACUGGAUGAAUAAUUUCCUUGGGAGCCCGUGUCAGGUAACUCCAACUUACAGAUUUGGGCCUGGAGCACACUCUUUUCCACUCAUUCUCUACAACACCGGCUGUCACGAGCUUCUGGAAGAAGGCAGAGAUCAGCAUCACCGACAGAAUGCCCUGGAAAUCAACAGCAUGGAGGCACAGAAUCUUGUUCGUAAUUUAUGUAGAAGCACAGUCCAUACUUCUUGACUUGAUUGGCGAUGACAUCUGGAAUUGAUUCCUAUUGGGUAUUGUGUGCCACCACAUAUUAUACACAGGGACACAUUUUACUUACCCCUAAGAUCUUCAAUUUUCUGAUAAGGAUUUUCUGCACUUGGUUUUGGGAAUCGUAGGCUGUGGCUGUAAAUUCUGCUGUUCGGUACUCUGAAGUGAUGAUCUCUGGAGGAAACACCAGGAAAACGGGACUAUGCACAUUUUUUGAAUCCAUGAUGGUAUAGUUGGUUUUUUCAAGUGGAAGAAAAGGAUGUAGCUGGUACUCCCAUUUAAAUCAUCUUCGUUUCCUGUACUGAAGCUGUCUAGAGCACUGGCAUUGUUGUACUCUGGCUUAGAAUUAUAGAACCAUAAAGUCACAGAGUCAUAGAAUUUUAGGAAUGGCCAAGAGCCUAAAGAUAAGAAUUAAAGUGCCCAUCCCUGUG